ACCAGUUUGAACACUUCAUUUGACUUAAAGUUGCUAUUUCCAAGAAUCUACAGACCAUGUUAAGUGAGGACUUACUUACUGUAUAUAUACACACACACACACACACACGCACACCCCCCCUAUUAUUACUUUGCUGAAGACUAAUUUAAGUCUAUAACAAAACUGCCUUAUAAUUAUGAUUAUAUCAUUUACUGACAACCAGUGACUCUGAUGUUUCCAAUCUAUCAAUUUCCCAUCAUCAGUAAAAUAAACAAAAUAGGCAUAUCCACGAUGGGGCAAAAAGAACAAUCACAAUUGACUCCUCCUCACCUUCAUUUUGUAGGUCUGAUGAUCACUGUCGCCCUGAAAAUUGAAAGGAAAAACAAAAGUAAACUCUUCUUAACAAUGAAAAUGAGGUAUGAAGGCAGGAUUUAUUAAAUGCUUCAAUUGCAUCUUCAUUGGAGCAUCUACAAAUUGACUGAUGCUUUCUCAGACCUGCCUAAACCAUAGGAGCCAUGAUUGGUUAUUUGAACCCUUGUGUUGAGUGGAUAUCCCUUGAAGCAAUAAUGUGCCCAGAUUUUCAUGGAGCAUGAGGAAGGAAUUACUUGGAGUAUUCUACAAAGCAACUGGCCUGAACACUUCAAAAAUAAAAUAUCACGAACAGAAAAAGGAGGGAAAGGGCAAUUUUGGAUCAGAAAAGAUUGAAUGAAACACAACAGUGAAAUGCGAUGUUACAAACCUUGAUUGGAUUCUGGGUCAAAUUUUGAAGAAAGCAGUGGCUCACGCCUAUGGUCCCAGUGCUUUGAGAGGCUGAGGCAGGAAGACUACUUAAACACCGGAGUUCAAGGCUGCAGCGAGCUAUGAUUGUACCACUGCACUCCAGCCUGGGCAACAGAGCGAGACACUGUCUGGAUUAAAAAAAAAAAAGAAAAGAAAAGUAAAGCAGGUAUUUGGGGGACAACUGGAAAGAUUUAAAUAUGGAGUAUAGGCUGGGUGCCGU
rnacentral:lncRNA from 1 species